rnacentral:rRNA from 1 species
GCUUAACACAUGCAAGUCGAACGAAGGCUUUACGACAGAACUCUUCGGAGGGAAGAUGGAAAGACUUAGUGGCGGACGGGUGAGUAACGCGUGGGUAACCUGCCCCAUACAGGGGAAUAACAGCCGGAAACGGCUGCUAAUGCCGCAUAAGCGCACAGAGCCGCAUGGCACGGUGUGAAAAGCUCCGGCAGUAUGGGAUGGGCCCGCGUCUGAUUAGCUAGUAGGUGAGGUAAAGGCUCACCUAGGCGACGAUCAGUAGCGGGUCUGAGAAGAUGAUCCGCCACACUGGGACUGAGACACGGCCCAGACUCCUACGGGAGGCAGCAGUGGGGAAUUUUGGACAAUGGGCGAAAGCCUGAUCCAGCCAUGCCGCGUGUCUGAAGAAGGCCUUCGGGUUGUAAAGGACUUUUGUCGGGGAGGAAAUCCCCAGCGCUAAUACCGCUGGGGGAUGUCAGUACCUGAAGAAUAAGCACCGGCUAACUACGUGCCAGCCGCCGCCGUAACAC